AGUGAUCAUUGGCGGCAGGCUUAACACAUGCAAGUCGAGCGAGGCUACGAGCCGAGCGGCGAACGGGUGAGUAAUACUUGGGAAUCUGCCCUGGAGUGGGGGAUAACAACCAGAAAUGGUUGCUAACACCGCAUAAUCCAUAUUGGGAAAACGUUUAGUGCUCUAGGAUGAGCCCAAGUCUGAUUAGCUAGUUGGGGGGG
rnacentral:rRNA from 1 species